GCUUCUAUUUAUGAUGUCAGACUUGAUCUUUGUUCUCAUUACUGGUAUGUCAUCCUAUAAGUUAGAAUAAUUUUUGUCAAUUAUAUUUUUUGUAGGACGGUCACAAAUGCCAAUUUAAGGGAUGAAAGGAAAUCAAACAUACCUUCUUUGCCCAGCGAGAAAGAGAACUGGCUCCAUCCUUUGCAAGUUUUUUGAAGAAAAAGGGAGCCAUGUGUUGCUGAACCAAUCUCUCAACUUGGCGUUCGCUUUCCAAAUGAAGCUUUUUUGCAACUUUUCAAUUGCGUCGUCGCACUUCGAUUCGGUUGGAGCGUUAGCGACUGCUCUGAGAAAAGCGAGCACGCAGUCUUUAAUGCUGGUACARCCAUUGUCACUUUUGCUUAGCCAUUCUCCCCAUGACUUCUCUCUGUGAAAAUCGCACAAAAGAACGGUGCUUUCUGUGCAAAAGAAUAUGCAAUUAAUAAUGAUUUAUUAAAAUUUAUCUGUAUAUCUCGAA